AGGGGCGUAGCUCAGUUGGUAGAGCGCCGGUCUCCAAAACCGAAGGUCGUGAGUUCGAGUCUCUCCGCCCCUGCCA
rnacentral:tRNA from 1 species